GUUUGGUUUGCCAUCACUUUUUGUGACUUUUCUGACAUCUGCAAGUGUCGGAAGUGUGACCUGAAACAUUUAAGGACACUUCUGCCUGAACCAUGGGCAGAUGUUUAGACUCCAAGAUACAGAGGAGGAGGGUCUUGGAGGUUUCUUAGUAUAAGUUCCUCCCUGUGGUACUUGCAGUUCCUACAAGGGGCUGUCAGAGAAACAAGCCGGAGCAGAAGAGCAAGACAUGGUCCUGGUGCAUGAAAGGAGCCUAAGAAAGAAGAGUGAAAGCUGCACGUGUGUGAGUAUCUAGCAGAACAUCUAGAAAAUGCACACCAACCUCCAGCAGCAGAAAACAGUCUACCUCCAGAAAGCCAUAAAAGAGAAAAGAAUGUUGUACCAAACUAAGCAAAUGAAGCAUGAAAUGAAAAGCCGGUUGAGCUGGGAGGUAUAAAGAAUGGAAAGGAAGCAGCUACCACCCCUGGUAACCCCAUCAAUCCGGAGAAGCUUCGCAGAGUUACACUGUGCUCUGUCGGGAAGGAAAUGAAUUUUCCUCAUUGUACACAUUCCGAGAAAAAUGAGGCUAAGACUAUUUCAAAGGAUGUUCUACCUAAUUCGAAUGGGCUUUAAGUGCCAUCUUCACAAUAGCGCCAGAGUCUGGUGUCAGCAAACUGAACAAAUAGAGCUACAGGGAGCGAAUGGGGCUGGGUGCCUCUCCAAAACAUAUGCAGAUGAACUUGAGAUUUCAGAGGACGGUUAAUCCUACACAGCAGUCAAGUGCCUUCCCAGGGGUAUGUCUCAGAUCUCAGAGCAUCCUGGCAGGCAUCCACUGUGCCAUAUGCUUUCGGGAAGUCUGGAUGCUGAAUGUGGUGGCUGUGGGGAAUUGAGCCUUAUUGCUUCAUAAGAUUCCUGGUGGUAGAACUAUUCUGAACAAGAACACGUCCGUCCCCAUAGGUGUGCUCCAAGAAUCACAGAAUAAGAAGGGACUUCGGAGAGAGCCUCACACAGUUGGGCAAUGGGAGCCCAGAGAGGCAAGGAAGGCUCCUUGCCCAAAGUCUUGUACAUCUGAAUCUGCAACUCCUGACUAUUUUUGAGUCUUAUGCUCCAGGCUAAAACUUGUGACUUUAAGUGUGAUGUUCUCGGUGAUGAUUAAUCUAGGAUGUUUCUGUUGUUUUCUUACCGUCAAAGAAUUAACAUCAAAAGGAAAGGAAGGAAGAAAUGUAGAAGUGAAGGCAAGAAGGAAGGAAGGAGGAAAGGAAGGAAGGAAAAUAUAGGCUUUGGGUAAAAAUAAGUUUCUACUCAACACUGACAAAGGUACAGGUUUUGGACAUUGGUUUCCUAAUCUGUAAAUGAGGAAUAGUCAUCACAUCGCUGUCCUGGCUGGUUUUGUGUGUCAACUUGACACAAGCUGGAGUUAUCACAGAGAAAGGAAAGAAAAUGCCUCCAUGAGAUCUAGCUGUAAAUGGAUUAGUGAUCAAGAGUGGGAGGGCCCAGUGUGGGUGGUGCCAUCCCUGGACUGGUGGUCCUGGGUUCUACAAGAAAACAAGCUGAGCAAGCCAGGGGAAGCAAGCCAGGGGAACAUCCCUCCACGGCUCUGCAUCAGCUCCUGCUUCCUGCCCUGUGUGAGUUCCAGUCCUGACUUCCUUUGGUGACGAACAGCAAUGUGAUAGUAUAAGCUGAAUAAACCCUUUCCUCCCCAAC
rnacentral:lncRNA from 1 species